rnacentral:rRNA from 1 species
GACGAACGCUGGCGGCGUGCCUAAUACAUGCAAGUCGAACGAAGCUUUUUUAACUGGUGCUUGCACCGACUUAAACAACUGAGUGGCGAACGGGUGAGUAACACGUGGGUAACCUGCCCCAAAGCGGGGGAUAACAUUUGGAAGCAGAUGCUAAUACCGCAUAACCACAGAAACCACAUGGUUUCUGUGUCAAGGAUGGUUUCGGCUAUCACUUUGGGAUGGACCCGCGGCGUAUUAGCUAGUUGGUAAGGUAAUGGCUUACCAAGGCAAUGAUACGUAGCCGAACUGAGAGGUUGAUCGGCCACAUUGGGACUGAGACACGGCCCAAACUCCUACGGGAGGCAGCAGUAGGGAAUCUUCCACAAUGGACGAAAGUCUGAUGGAGCAACGCCGCGUGAGUGAAGAAGGUUUUCGGAUCGUAAAACUCUGUUGUCAGAGAAGAACGUGUGCGAGAGUAACUGUUCGUGCAGUGACGGUAUCUGGCCAGAAAGCCACGGCUAACUACGUGCCAGCCGCCGCCGUAA